UCCGAAUAAAAAAACAAAAAAACUACAAAUAGUCUUCUAGGUGAAGUGGCUACUGGGUAUCGGCAGGAUGAAGUAGCUCGGAGGUCGAAGGUGUAGUAGCAAGAUCAGGUACUGGUAGUGAGAUUUGGAGGCCGGUCAUCUAUAUGGCUCAUACUAGACCUCUCAUAUGCCCGGCAUAGGCCUGCAGUUGCUCGCCCUGGGCCCUUAUCUGUUCCCUCAUCUACUCGCCCUGGACCUCAUGAUGACCCUUUAGGGUUGUCACUUCCUCAUUCAAUGAAUCGACCUCUGCAGUGAUCUGACGGAAACAUCUAAGUAAUCAAUUGAUUCAAUGAUCUGACGGAAACAAUAUGUGGUAGGUAUCAGUUAAGUGAAGAGAAAACAUCUAAGUAAUCAAUUGCUUUAGUGAAUCUUCUAUAGUAUGGUUGCAAUAAUAAGAACUUUGAUAUAGUUAAGUCUAAUCAAACUAUUAUAAGUAAUCAAAUUCAAGUCUUAUUUUCGGUGAUCUAGUUAUGUAGUUAAGAACUUUGAUAUCAAGCAAAGUAGGAAACCCAUUAAUCCAUUUAAAAAGCAUAACUUAAAUUACUGAUAUAGUUAAACUAAUCAAACUAUUAUAAAAAUUAAAACAGAAUAAGAAAUGGAAAUUCAAACUUUGAUAUCUAUUAUCUAGAUGCAGAGAUAGACGGAGUUGGACGGAGUUGGAGAUGGAGAUAGCUUUGACCAAAGUUUUGCUGAGAGUUUAUUCGGAGUUGGAGAUAGCUUUGACCAAAGUUUUGCAUUUGAAGCCCAAUACCCUGAGCGAUGGCAAUAAACCAAAUUAAAGCCACUAAGACAUGAAGACCUAACCCAAAUCUUCUUCUCUUUGACCAAUGAAUAAAAAUGGUAACAACAUUACUUUUACAUUGGCAGCCAAUGAAUCAUAACUUACCUUACAUUUCAAGUUAUUGAAUUAAACAGUAAGCUCUAUUUUAUUUAAAAAACCUACAGGGCGUGUUCGCUUGGGUUAGUUCUAGUUCAAGCCCUCAUUUAACAAGGUUAAAAUAAGGAGACUAGUGAGGCAGUAGUCCCACUUAGUGAGAUUGCUAAAUAGCACCCUGUUUGAUACAACUUAGACUAACUCAUACUAGCUCAAUCCAGCAAAGCAAUGCGGUGUAGCAAACACAGCCAUAAAUGUAAUUGGUUUUCUCAAAUCAUCUUAAACACAAAAUACUGAAUGUACAAUUACAAGGGUUGUCGUACCUAUGGACUCCUGCAGAUGGGUAAGAAUGACUUGCAGCAGGACGAGCUCUUUCAAAUGCCAAAUGAGGUGAAUGCAGCUGCCCUGGAGCUUCAGGUCCCCUAUGUUAAAAUAAAAAUCAAUAUGUUUUUAAUACAUAACGAAACCCAAAUGCUCAAUGGCUAUUCAAUUACUUUUAGCCAUUUUCUUCUACGCACAAUCAAUAUAUAUAACUAAAACCAUUAAGUUAUUAUCCAUACCAUUAGCUAUUCCUUUAGUCUUCAUGUGCUUCCAAGUGCAAAGUUAUAAUCAAUCACAAAAUCAUUAAGCAGGUCAAGGUAAUUAUAAAUUUCGAAGCUCGUAACAAGGAAGAUUUAGAACUUGAUACAAAGCCAACCAAACAAGCAGGGAACAACAAAUGCAGCUACAAAGUCAACCAAAAUACAUAAAUAUAAAUAAAAUUAUUCCAAAUCGUGAAAAAAAAAAAGCUAAUCAGUUAACAAAAACCUAAAUCCAUAAAAUCACCAUAAACUCCAAAAAUCAAAGAUCUAGAACAAGCAUUCAUAUGAAAACAAGAAACAGAGCAGAGCAACAUAAAUUAAAGAGAAGGAGAUGCAAUAAGCGAAAUGUAGCAAAUAAUUACCAACCAAACUGAGAUUAAGCAAAUAAAGCUUUGAGAGAUUUGUUACGUGUCCCAAACGGUCCGAUUGGAGUCUGGACUCUCUCUGCGCCUGCGAAGAAGCUGACUUCUCCAGCAAACCUAGUAUCAAAUCUCUACAAACACACAGAUUCCAAAUCCAAAACCCUAAUUGCGAUUAUUCGGAUCAAUUUCUAGGAGGAAAAAAAGGGGGAAAGGGAAAUUUGUUUGCAGAUGGGCGAGAGGGAAGAGCAAGAGACUGAGUGGAAUAAGAGCAAAAGGGAAAUUUGUUUGCAGAUGGGCGAGACUCGAGAGGGAAAUUUGUUAGGAGGAAAAAAAAUUAUUUGGGAAAAUUUAAAAAUAGCGCCUAUUAUUAACAAUUGUACCGCCAAAAUUUUAACACUUUGCG
rnacentral:lncRNA from 1 species